rnacentral:rRNA from 1 species
AUGAACGCUGGCGGCGUGCCUAAUCCCUGCAAGUCGCGCGAACAGACGAGGAGCUUGCUCCUCUGACGUUAGCGGCGGCCGGGUGAGUAACACGUGGUUAACCUACCUAUAAGACUGGGAUAACUUCGGGAAACCGGAGCUAAUACCGGAUAAUAUAUUGAACCGCAUGGUUCAAUAGUGAAAGACGGUUUUGCUGUCACUUAUAGAUGGAUCCGCGCCGCAUUAGCUAGUUGGUAAGGUAACGGCUUACCAAGGCAACGAUGCGUAGCCGACCUGAGAGGGUGAUCGGCCACACUGGAACUGAGACACGGUCCAGACUCCUACGGGAGGCAGCAGUAGGGAAUCUUCCGCAAUGGGCGAAAGCCUGACGAAGCAACGCCGCGUGAGUGAUGAAGGUCUUCGGAUCGUAAAACUCUGUUAUUAGGGAAGAACAAAUGUGUAAGUAACUAUGCACGUCUUGACGGUACCUAAUCAGAAAGCCACGGCUAACUACGUG